UCUGGUUGGUAGAUGCACUAUAAAAAGCAUUUACAGUUGUUGGGCUUGUAAACCACCUGUAGCAAGAGCAAAAGAAAUUGUCUGUCAGUACAUUGACAUUCACAUUUAUGAAUCAAAGGAGCAAAGAUAAAAAUUUAACUCAGUAGAAGGAAGUAAAAACAUUAAGGACUUAAGAGAUAUUAAAAUUUAAGUAUUUCUCCAUUUCAGUACAUGCUACCUACACUUUCUAGAACACUGAAAUCUAUUGUUUAAUGACUUUAACUGCAUACAGUCAAUAAAUGCCCAACAGGAGCAAUUCUUACUGUUCCUAUCAUGUGAUCUGUUUAGUUUUUAAGUGACCAUUGUGCUUAUGAGGCCAGCCAUGCUGAUGACACAAAAUUCACCCAGAAGAGGCUGCAACAUGGACAGCAGCUGUGAAAACUCUACUGUGUGUUUUUCAAACACGUGUGGAGGAACUCUGUGUUGGAAUUAGAGGAGAGCAUUUUGAAACAGCAGCAACCAGCUGAACUGUUUUGAAGAAUGCAAGCCUGCCAUUUAUGCCUUGGAACCAGGCUUAGCUGUAAAUCUGGAGGACUGUUCCUUUUUUGACAAGGAGAAAGCCCAUCUAAAAACGUCAAGACUUCAAUUUAUAUUUUACUGUAAGUUUGAGCAAAGACACAUAGUGUUGUGACUUGUACCUCAUCUUCUUGGCUUGUUCUGCUUACAAUGGCCUUUCUGUUCUCAAACAGAAAUUUUUAAGCAUGAAAAAGGCUUCUGGGACAGAAAAUGUUCCCUUUCUGCAAAUUCCUCUUAGCCUUUUAUUUCCAGUCAAAGGAUCAAGAGCCUGAGAUGUAUAACAGAUAUUUCAAAACAGAUUAAUGUGCUGUGGUUCUUCUCUCCAUGGUCUGUGGGGGCUUACCACUGCUAGCUGCAAAGAGAAACACCACAAGAGACAGCUCUCUAACAGCACAAGUUUGCACUUGUUUUCCUGGGUGAGGAGCUGGUGAUGCAGGCACUUGUCCCCACAGGAGCACCUCACUCUGCCCAAGAGCAGCACUGAAUGCUGGCAACAUUUGGUCCACAUUUACUGAGGGAGGACUUCACAUCAUCCUCUGGCCAUACUUUCAUAGCCAUGAACUCAUGGACUUGGACCUUGCAGGAGAAGAUCUAUCACAGCAUCCCUGUCCCGAGGCUGCUGCUUUUCUCAUGAUCUGCCCCCAGAGUUGCAAAGCCCAUCCUGUUUGCUGAGCUUAGCAUGAGCCCAAGGCUGAGAGCAGCCUUGAUUUUCCCGCUGUAAAACUGGACUCAGUUCUUUCCAAAUUGCUCCUCCAUAACAAGGCCUCAAUAAUGACCCUGUAUGGAAUUCAUCAUGCUUUUAAGCAGUUAGGAAGAGGGCACUUAGGAGUCAGGAAGAAUAAGAGUUCUCUAGUAACAAGCAGAGUAUUGUAUUAAGCGUUCUCUAGUAACAAGCAGAGUUAACAAAAACAGCAUUUUGUUGUACCAUUCUGAGCCCUCUCAAAAAUAUUUAGGAAAUCUUUUUUCCACAAAAGAGUAGCAAUAACCAACACUGCUUCCAUCCAGGCUAGCAGAACAACUUCACUUCUCAUCUGCCAUGCUCUUUCAAGUGAGCUCAUGCAAGUGAGCUCCUUGAAAUGACUGAACCUUCAGGGACAGUUCUUAACUAAUAACAGAACAAAUUACAACAUGAAGGUGUGUAAUAAAUAGCUGUUACUGUUAAAUUUUAAGGUGAAGCAAAUUUAGAAAUAACUCUCCCAUUCCUGUUUGAAGUCAGAGUCCCUGAGAAUUUAAUCUAGGUCUGGUGACAAUUUCUGUGUGCUUUAUCUACAGAAGGAUAGAAAAAAAUGAAGACAUUACAAUUUCCAAACUCAUAUUAAUUACAAAGUAAAUAAAUAAAAAUUCUAGAACUGUUUACACUGUUUUCAUUUGCUAUAAGUUUGUGAAAAAGGGAUAGUUUUGAAUGAUAUAGUGUUACCUAUCUGGUACUGCAGAAGUCAAAAUUUAAUUCUGCAGAGUUGACAAUUGUAAGGUUGAGAUUUCUCUUGUAGAAAUAAAAUUUGAAACAUACAGUGGGAUAGUAAGUGGGGCAGAAACUCCCUUAGUCUGUGUUCUUGAGGCUGAAAUUUCCUCUGGUAUUUUCUUUCUGUGUUAAGAGUAUAGUGUGCUACAUUGCCAUUCAUGAACAGGGAUGGUUGGAAAUAUUAACAAUACAGAAAAAUCUUAUUUGUUUAUUUACUUCUCUGUAAAGCAUAAAUUGAAUUUGCAAAUUGAUUCUCAGCUUUUUGAGUUGGAAGAAAUCAUUUGGUUUGCUGGUCAACAUUCAAAGUAAGAAAUAAAAAUAAAUAAUCAUAUAAACAUAGCAAAUGAACUUCUAAAUGUACAAAGACAAGCUGGUUAGAAGGGAAAAGCCAUACAAAGUUUCUGGAAGCUGGAAAAUGUCUUCCAAAGAAAACACUAAAACCAAAAAUUUCUGAAUGAGAGGCAACCUUCAAAGUGUCUUUCAAAAUAGUAUUUUCUCUUCUCCUUGUUAGUUUCUUUUAUAUAUUUUCCCAUGCAGAAGCAGAUUAUUGACCCAGGCCAGGUUACCAUCCACCUCCCUUCGGAAUAGGCAAGGAACUAGAAUGACAAGGCUGGGUCCAGCCUUCAGCGCCACAUUUGCUGCUUAAAAAGAGGUUCAAAGACCAGGCAAAGGCUCCAGGAGGUUCCUUUCCAGCCUCUCCUCUCCAGGGCAGGUCCCAGCCACACAAUUUCCGGCAGUGUCUCUCCAACAGACAACAGCCUGCCCAGUGUUUUUGAUGGCUGCUUUUACCUUUUUGGCAGAAGGAGCUUUUACACCAUCCUUAGAGGUAUCCCAGAACCUCUCAGAGCUACCCUUCCUUGUGACAAACCAAGAGCCAGGGCUAACACACAAUAGUGUGUGCUCCAGAAAAAAGGGAUAGGUUCUGGAGGAGACCCCAGAAUCCUCUCAUAGCAUCCUUCCUUUGUAUCCUCUUAUCAGGAUACCAGACAUCUACAUCCCCAGCUCUGAAAGUCUAGUGAAAAGUGGAGACAAAUUUGGCCAGGUCUAAAAAUCUUAAAUUAUAUGCUGACUUCAAAGGAGAAAGAUGAAUAAUAAUGAAGUGGUGUGGCCAAGAGGUCCUCUGAUGCUUUGUUAAAUGCAAGUAUAAUAUCAGUGUCAAGAAGGAUAGAUCCUAUCUCUGAUUAAAAGGUGCAGGCACGUGUUUGUAUACACACACACUUAAAUUUCUAUGUAUGAAUGUGUAUGACUCCAUGGAUGGAUAGGCAAAUGCAACUAAAACCCUGACUCUCCUUAAUUUUUCCCUUCCCCAUGGCCAUCACUUCCCCCUGUACUGCCUUUCACUUUCCUCUGCUCCAGCUCUAUCUCACCUGGCUCACAAUGAUUAUCUUCACACCUGGUGCCCAUCCUCCCACACUGCUGCUUACAGACUCUCCACUGAGCCCUCUCAGCCUAACCUGUGCUGGUGUGUGCACCACAUUCCUCAACUCCUGCACAAAUCCCUUUCAUUUUUCUCUCUGCUGAUACCUGAGCACUUUUUUUCUUGUUGGCUAGAGCCAGCUGUGACAGUGACAGUCACCUCCCCAGCCAGCUGUGAGGCUGCAGCUGGCACCCAAGGCUGGUGUUGAGCACAAGUGACACCUCGCAGAGCUGUGGUGUCCUCAGGUGAGCCUGGCCCCAGGACUGGCAGAAGAGGCAGCUCCAGCACCCCUGUGCCUUGUCACAGCUCUCUGGCACCAGUGGGGCCGGGUGUGGCCCCUCACCCAUGCCCUGAGCAGUGAGGAGCUCAUCUGAGUUCCUCCAUGCUCCCUUCUCCUGCCAGGCAGAUAAAUGCCAGGGAUGCAGGGAACACAAGAAAGAAUAAAGAUUUUUGAUAAUUA